CGCGGCCUAUCAGCUUGUUGGUGGGGUAAUGGCCUACCAAGGCGACGACGGGUAGCCGGCCUGAGAGGGCGACCGGCCACACUGGGACUGAGACACGGCCCAGACUCCUACGGGAGGCAGCAGUGGGGAAUAUUGCGCAAUGGGCGAAAGCCUGACGCAGCAACGCCGCGUGAGGGAUGACGGCCUUCGGGUUGUAAACCUCUUUCAGCAGGGACGAAGCGAAAGUGACUGUACCUGCAGAAGAAGCGCCGGCUAACUACGUGCCAGCAGCCGCGGUAAUACGUAGGGCGCAAGCGUUGUCCGGAUUUAUUGGGCGUAAAGAGUUCGUAGGCGGUCUGUCGCGUCGGAAGUGAAAACCCGGAGCUCAACUCCGGGCCUGCUUUCGAUACGGGCAGACUUGAGUGUUGCAGGGGAGACUGGAAUUCCUGGUGUAGCGGUGGAAUGCGCAGAUAUCAGGAGGAACACCGGUGGCGAAGGCGGGUCUCUGGGCAACAACUGACGCUGAGGAACGAAAGCGUGGGGAGCGAACAGGAUUAGACACCCUGGUAGUCCACGCUGUAAACGGUGGGCACUAGGUGUGGGGACCAUUCCACGGUCUCUGCGCCGCAGCUAACGCAUUAAGUGCCCCGCCUGGGGAGUACGG
rnacentral:rRNA from 1 species